rnacentral:rRNA from 1 species
AUUGCGAUGGAAAACGUUGAGAAUCCUGUUGAGGGUGACAAUGGAACUCCUGUGAGGAGUAAGAGACAGAGGACUGCAAAGUCUUUUGGUGAUGAUUUCAUUGUGUACCUUGUGGAUGACACACCCAGGACUAUUUCAGAAGCCUAUGCAUCUCCUGAUGCUGAAUACUGCAAGGAAGCUGUUCGUAGAGAGAUGGAUUCCAUCUUAGCUAACGGUACCUGGGAGAUCACUGACCGUCCUUAUGGGUGCAAACAUGUAGGAUGUAAGUGGGUGUUCAAGAAGAAGCUUAGACCUGAUGGUACGAUUGAAAAGUACAAGGCACGUCUUGUGGCCAAGGGUUAUACCCAGAAAGAAGGUGAAGAUAUCUUUGAUACUUACUCACCCGUGGCUAGACUGACCACAAUUCGGGUGCUACUAUCACUGGCUGCCUCACAUGGUCUUCUCGUUCAUCAAAUGGACGUUAAGACGGCUUUCCUCAAUGGAGAAUUGAAGGAGGAAAUUUACAUGGAUCAGCCAGAUGGUUUUGUAUUAGUACCUGGUCAGGAAGGAAAGGUGUGCAAGUUAUUAAAGUCUUUAUAUGGCCUUAAACAAGCUCCUAAGGAGUGGCAUGAGAAGUUCGAAAGAACAUUAACUGCUGCCGGCUUUGUAGUAAACGAUGGUGACAAGUGUGUGUACUAUCGCUAUGGUGGGGGCGAAGGAGUUAUUCUUUGUCUGUAUGUCGACGACAUAUUGAUAUUUGGCACCAAACUUGAUUUAAUCAAGGAGGUUAAGGAUUUCUUAUCUCGCUGUUUUGAGAUGAAGGAUCUAGGAGUAGCUGAUGUUAUCUUAAACAUCAAGCUGUUGAGACAUGAGAAUGGUGGGAUCACACUGCUUCAGUCUCACUAUGUGGAAAAGGUCUUGAGUCGUUUUGGGUAUAGCGACUGCACACCUUCUCGAACUCCAUAUGAUGCUAGUGUUGCCACGAGGCCUGACAUCUCUUUUGCUGUGAGCAAGCUGAGUCGGUUUGUGUCAAAACCGGGAGAUGAUCAUUGGCAUGCGCUUGAGAGAGUUAUGCGCUAUUUGAAAGGCACCAUGAGCGAUGGGAUUCACUACACCGGGUAUUCCAGGCUACUGGAGGGUUACAGUGACUCAAACUGGAUUUCUGAUGCUGAUGAGAUAAUGGCCACAAGUGGUUAUGUUUUUACACUUGGUGGUGGCACUGCCACUGUUGAAGCAGAGUGGCUUCAUGAACUCUUGAUGGACUUACCUAUGGUUGAAAAACCAAUACCCCCUAUCCUGAUGAACUGUGAUAAUCAAACUGUGAUCGUCAAGAUAAACAGUUUGAAGGACAAUAUGAAGUCCUCAAGACAUGUGAAGAGGAGACUAAAAUCUGUCAAAAAAUUGAGGAACUCCGGAGUUAUUACGUUGGAUUAUAUCCAAACGUCGAAAAACUUGGCAGAUCCCUUCACAAAGGGUCUAUCACGUAAUGUGAUAGAUAAUGCAUCGAUAGAGAUGGGUUUGAGACCCACC